rnacentral:rRNA from 1 species
CCUACGGGAGGCAGCAGUGGGGGAUAUUGCACAAUGGGGGAAACCCUGACGCAGCGACGCCGCGUGGGCGAAGAAGUCCCUCGGGUUGUAAAGUUCUAUUAGCAGGGACGAAGAAAUGACGGUACCUGAGGAAUAAGCAACGGCUAACUACGUGCCAGCAGCCGCGGUAAUACGUAGGUGGCAAGCGUUAUCCGGAUUUACUGGGUGUAAAGGGAGUGCAGGCGGGACGGCAAGUCAGAUGUGAAAUCCCGCGGCUCAACCGUGGAACUGCAUUUGAAACUGUUGUUCUUGAGUGCCGGAGAGGUAGGCGGAAUUCCGUGUGUAGCGGUGAAAUGCGUAGAUAUUAGGAGGAACACCAGUGGCGAAGGCGGCCUGCUGGACGUUAACUGACGCUGAGGCGCGAAAGCGUGGGGAGCAAACAGGAUUAGAUACCCUAGUAGUC